rnacentral:tRNA from 1 species
GGAUAAGUGGCGGAAUUGGAAACGCCUAGUUAUGUAAGGUUGAUCGCCAGACAUUCCGUUUAACGGUGUGGCUCUUGAAGUAUCAUUCCCGGUUCGAAUCCGGGCUUAUCCA